rnacentral:tRNA from 1 species
UUAAAUGAAACCAAAAAUUAGAGGUAAAUCACUGUUAAUGAUCAAAAUGAAUAAUAUUCCAUUUAAA